UACGUAGGGAGCAAGCGUUGUCCGGAAUUAUUGGGCGUAAAGGGCGCGUAGGCGGCGCGGUAUGUCACCUGUGAAAUCUCCUGGCUCAACUGGGUGCUUGCAGGCGAAACUGCCGUGCUGGAGUGUGGGAGAGGUGCGUGGAAUUCCUGGUGUAGCGGUGAAAUGCGUAGAUAUCGGGAGGAACACCAGUGGCGAAGGCGACUUCCUGGCCUGUUCUUGACGCUGAGGCGCGAAAGCUAGGGUAGCAAACGGG
rnacentral:rRNA from 1 species